UAAAGAUGUACAAGCAUUCAACCCACCACUCUAGAAGCCUAUAGUCUGAGGUCAUGCUUUGAUCAAGCUCACCAUCCAGAGACACACGGACAUAAUGAGGGAAGGCAAAGGCAAAGAAGAGACAAACAUACCGUUAGACACAAGCAGGAGGGCCAACAGAACACACUGUCCAUGGGAUUCCAUCUUCAUGCCUACACAGUGACAGGACCACACUGAAGCACUCUACUGUAGCCACUCUGACAGCACGAGGGCUGGAUUAGGAUAAUCCACAGGACACUAAUGGCCAGUAAUACCCUUUAUCUCCUCACAAAGUCCCUCCCUCAUCUGUUGAGGGCCAGUUGGGAAAAUGCAAUGAGGAAACAGUAAUGCAAUGUGUAAUGUACCAGAGCAGGGUCCUAAUGGCUGGAUCCCCUGAAGGGGCCCAGCUGCUAUACCCUGUCACCCAUAUCAUGGAGCAGAAGGUGUGUUCAAGGCAUUUGGGGUUGUCUAUUUUAGGAAAUGAUUUAUUUACAGAAUAAGGGGAAUAGUGUGUGUGCGUGGGUUCGACUUAACAACAAACCCCAGACUUUCUGGAUAAGGUUUUCAUUAUUUUCCGACCAGGAAGUACCAUUUUUAUUUAUAAAGAUAAAUAGGUUCUCUGAUUGGUCAGGUGGGUUAACGUGUCAAAACGUUUCAAAAUGCUGGAACUAAAAGUGACCCAGCCAGGCGUGAACAGCACAGGUGCGCACCAUAGAUAAAUUGCCCAAGGCUGAAUUCAAUCUUCAUAACACCAAAGUGGGCGUCAUAGGCCUAUAAAAAGGUCAUUGUAAGUGUAACCUGUUAUAAGACUAUCCAAAGGAAAAACACAAUGAAGGUAUUUGUUAGCAGAACAACGAAGAAACCCUUCAGAGAGCAGAAGAGGAAAAACAAGGCCUACUCCACCUUCAUCUACAGGAUCCGGAGAGAGGGUGACUGCAUCCCCACCAUGGACCGUUUAUUGGUGAACGAGUCUACCUGCCCACGGAGGGUGCUGGUCCUUCUGGUCGGCUCCGAGGCCGCCCGCCUGUCACGGCUCAACAGGAGGAAAGUCAUCACCCAACUAGAGGUCCACACUGCCAUGGCAUGGCUGAGACAAGGGAGAAAACAUGCCAGGCAACCGGGCGCCUGAAUGCUCUUAUGAACGCUUUGAAUUUUAUGUAUAUUUAAUAAAGAUGUCCUGUUUUUACUCAUCGUGUUGUCAUUCCAGCAAAUCAAUGCACCACUAAAUGUUUAAAACCAGUUGCGCACCUGAAGGCUGUAUAAUUGAAUGUUAAAGCGGUAUGCUCUCGCCUCUAAUGGCGGGCCAAUUACUUCGAGGGGCGGGGAAAGGCAUGGCCAUAAUUGAUGCAUUUGCUUGUCUUGUCAGGGGCGCAGAUGUGCGCCAAACUCAGUCAACCAUAGCCGAACUCCGGCGCGUGGGGAAAGCUGAAAUCAAAUGGACCCUUUUGUUCCUCGCUGUGCGUGACGCCCACUCAAAACACGCGUGUUGCUUAAGGAAGUAGAAGCGUACACCAUGUACAAGACUCUCUUUGGCGUAGACUCUACUGCGGCACAACCAAACAUCUUUAUCAACCUAACCGGUGUCCAGGAGGAACAGGCGUGUUCCUAGAUGAGCUGGGUAGUCUUGGACUUGUCGCAGGGUAAGUCAUUUACUGGCAAUAUAGGCUAUUGGUCACUGAAUCAGCUGUUGCAUCCUGUGUAGGGAAUUUAAUUACUAUAUUCACCUUUGCAGAUUUAACAUGUGAACAGCAACAGGUGUUUGUCUCGUGCAGAUCAAUGGGCAUACUACAGUGACGCAUGCAGGAUGAAUUAGUUUAUGCGACAUGUUUAAUUUAAUAGAGUACAAUUAUGUGCGUAUUUCGCCAUUUGUUUGUGUUUUUCCCCCACCAAGAGCCGUUUGUCAAAGGAGAUGCUGCUGGGGUAUUGUAACAGAGGCUGAGAGCGAGGCGAUGU
ensembl:lncRNA